rnacentral:lncRNA from 1 species
AUUCUAUUGCUGAAAUGAUCUUUUAUUUGUUAACUCUUACCACUGCUGCAGAACUCUAUUAUUAAAGCUUACAUUUUUGUUUUGUAGUAUUAACCUAGUCUAUUAGCAUACAAGGACCAAACAUUUUGACUGUAGUAAGACAGAUAUCAUUCUUAGCAACAUAUUUUCUGUUGCUUUUAUUUAUUUUGUUUAGGAUGCUGAUCACAUCUAUAUAAAUUUGAGUAGUUAACAGCAAGUUUCUGAAGUGCUAAUGUGUUGCUUGUAUCUUUUCCUACCCCACCUAAGCUCCUAGAAUGGGCCAAGCUACCAGCCCCAACCCAGCUUCCUUUGAAUCCAUGGAUAAAAGACACACACACACACACACACACACACACACACACACACACACACGUUGUUCCAGUUCAACUUGCCUUUUGACACAAUUUCUGGGCAACAGACUUGGCAAGUAUUCAUUUUGUAUAUUUGCAAAUUGAAUUUAUAGUGAGAAGUGAGCAAUUGGCCCAUGUUUCACAACUUAAAAACUAAUAGAAUUACAAUUUAAGCAAAGGAAUGUGUGUGUGUGUGUGUGUGUACACAUGCUUGUGUUUUGUUGUAGAAUUUGCUUUGUGUUUUUUGUUGUGGAAUUGCUGUAUAGAAGCUUUUGAGGGUUUUUUGUUUUUGUUUUUGUUUUUUUCAAGUCAGGGUUUCUCAGCCCUGGCUGUCCUGGAACUCACUCUGUAGACCAGCCUGGCCUCAAACUCAGAAAUUUGCCUGCCUCUGCCUCCCAAGUGCUGGGAUUAAAGGUGUGUGCCACCAUGCCAGGAGAAGCUUUUGAGUUUUAUGGAGGAACACUUGACUGCUGUUAACAUUAAUUCUUGGGCAAGUGGGCUCAUAUUCUUACAGUCUCCAUACAUCCUCCUCUAAGAGCAUUCCAACAUCUACAUGUUAGAGGGCACUAUGUUUUCUUCUAACAGUUUCAGUAUUUCAGUGGUUUUCUUGUUUUGUUUUAAGAUUUAUUUAUUUUAUUUGUAUGAGUACACUGUCGCUCUUGUCAGACACACCAGAAGAGAGCAUCAGAUCCCAUUACAUAUGGUUGUAAGCCACCAUGCAGUUGCUGGGAAUUGAACUCAGGACCUCAGGAAGAGCAUUCAGUGUUCUUAACCUCUGAGUCAUCUCUCCAGCCCCCUCAGUGUUUCAGAGUUUUUUGGGGUUUUUUUUUUUUUGUUUUUUUUUUUUUUGGUUUUGUUUUUUGGGUUUUGGAGAUGGCAUUGUUGUUGUUGUUGUUGUUGUUUUGAAAGCUGAUUGAUAUGGUUCAGUUUCAUUCUUCUCCAUGUCAACAUCCACUUGUCCCCACACCAUUUGGUUAAGAUAUUUUUUCCUCCAGUGUAUAUUUUUGACAUCUAUGUCAAAUAUUAAAUGACUGAAAUUACAUGCUCUCAUCUUCAUGAUUUAAAUUUUAUUGCAUUGGUUUGCAUAUCUUUUUUAUGCCAGUACAAUGUUUUCUUUGGCUCAUACUUUGAAAUACUUUGAAAUCUGAAUUGCUAAUUUCUCCAGCAUUGUUCUUUUAGCUCAGCAUUGUUUUGGGAUAUCUGUGGUAUUUUAUGGUUUCAUAUGACUUUUAAGGUUUUUUUUCCUAUUUCUAUGAGAAAUGAGUUAAGGAUUUUAAUUCAAGUUGCAGUGAAUGUGUAAAAAGCAUUCGAUUAAAUGAUCAAACACACAAAAUUAAAUCUACCAAGUCAUGAGCAUAUCUUCCCAUUUUAUACUAUUCUCUAUCUUUUCCUUUAGACAUGUAAACUUCUCAUUGUAAUGUUCUUUGACCUCCUUGGCUAUAUUUAUGCCCGAGUAUUUUUUUUCUUUGAUAUUGUUGUGAGUGGAAACAUGCCCAUGAACUAUCUCUUAUCUGUGCUGUUGGUGUACCAAAAAAAGAUUGAUUUGUGCAAGUUCAUAUUAUAUCCUGGUAUAUCAGUGAAUUUUAUUGUUUUUAGUAGUAGUUUUCUGGUAGAAUUUUUGGCAUCUCUUAUGUAAAAUGUCAUGUCAUCUCCAAAUGGCAAAUUUUUUUCUUUUCUUUUUUCCUAUUUGUAGCCUCUUAAUUUCUUUCUCUUGCUUUACACCAGCUAGUAUUUCUAGCACAGUAUUGAAAAGGACUGAGGAUAGUGGACAGCUCUGUCUCAUUUCUGAUUUUGAUGAGAUUGCUUUAAGUUGUUCUCAAAUUAAUAUGAUGCUCACUGUGCCUUUCUCAUAUAUAGCUUUUUUAUGUUAAUAUAUUUUCUCUCUCAUCAUAAUUUAUCUAGGAUAUUCAAAAUGAGCUUAUGAUAGACUCUGUCACAGUUUUUUGAUGCAUCUAUUCAUCAUCUCAAUAUAUGGUCUUUUUUUCUU